rnacentral:rRNA from 1 species
CCUACGGGAGGCAGCAGUAGGGAAUAUUGCUCAAUGGGGGAAACCCUGAAGCAGCAACGCCGCGUGGAGGAUGAAGGUUUUAGGAUUGUAAACUCCUUUUGUUAGAGAAGAUUAUGACGGUAUCUAACGAAUAAGCACCGGCUAACUCCGUGCCACCAGCCGCGGUAAUACGGAGGGUGCAAGCGUUACUCGGAAUCACUGGGCGUAAAGAGUGCGUAGGCGGGGUAAUAAGUCAGAUGUGAAAUCCUGUAGCUUAACUACAGAACUGCAUUUGAAACUGUUACUCUGGAGUGUGGGAGAGGUAGGUGGAAUUCUUGGUGUAGGGGUAAAAUCCGUAGAGAUCAAGAGGAAUACUCAUGGCGAAGGCAGCCUGCCGGGGUGCGACUGACGCUGAGGCUCGAAGGUGCGGGUAUCAAACAGGAUUAGAUACCCCUGUAGUC